CCUACGGGAGGCAGCAGUGAGGAAUAUUGGACAAUGGGCGCAAGCCUGAUCCAGCCAUGCCGCGUGCAGGAUGACGGUCCUAUGGAUUGUAAACUGCUUUUAUACGAGAAGAAACACCCCUACGUGUAGGGACUUGACGGUAUCGUAAGAAUAAGGAUCGGCUAACUCCGUGCCAGCAGCCGCGGUAAUACGGAGGAUCCAAGCGUUAUCCGGAAUCAUUGGGUUUAAAGGGUCCGUAGGCGGUUUAGUAAGUCAGUGGUGAAAUCUCCCCGCUCAACGGGGAAACGGCCAUUGAUACUGCUAGACUUGAAUUAUUAGGAAGUAACUAGAAUAUGUAGUGUAGCGGUGAAAUGCUUAGAGAUUACAUGGAAAUACCAAUUGCGAAGGCAGGUUACUACUAAUGGAUUGACGCUGAUGGACGAAAAGCGUGGGUAGCGAAACAGGAUUAGAUACCCUGGUAGUCCACGCCGUAAACGAUGGAUACUAGCUGUUGGGUGCAAACUCAGUGGNGUAGAGAAGAGAUAAGUAAGUACCACCGUACGGGAGGUACGGUUCGUCGAAGAAAGUAGAAACGUUAACAAAGUAAAGUUAAGUUAGGUACGNGNGAGAGCGACGACGACGACGAGGAGGAGGAG
rnacentral:rRNA from 1 species